CAGAAUGUAUCUUAUAUAAAGUUAUUUAGUUACAUUAAAUUGAAAGUUAUUUUAACUCUUUCUGA
rnacentral:tRNA from 1 species